rnacentral:rRNA from 1 species
GAUGAACGCUGGCGGCAUGCUUUACACAUGCAAGUCGGACGGGAAGUGAUGUUUACCGUGGCGGACGGGUGAGUAACGCGUAAGAACCUGCCCUAGGGAGGGGAACAACAGCUGGAAACGGCUGCUAAUAACCCGUAGUCAGAGGAGCGCAACGAGGGAUCGGCCCACGGAAGGGCUCGCGCCUGAGUCGCUAGGCGGUGAGUUAAUAGCUUACCAAAGCAGUGAUCAGGAGCUGGUGCGAGAGGAUGAUCAGCCACACUGCGACUGGUACAAGACGCAGACAACAACGGGAGACAGGAGUGGGGAAUUUUCCGCAAUGGGCGAUAGCUUGACGAGGCAAUGCCGUGUGGAAGUAAAAGGCCUAGGAGUGAUGAGCAUCUGUUCAUGACGCAGAAACAAUGACGGUAUCUGAAGAAUAAGCACCGGCUAACUCUGUG